GUAAAAACUUUGUCGAGGGCGCUCUCGUUCCCAGAGUCACCUAUUAUAGCACUAUUUGGAUGGGUGAUAGGAAAGGUUGUGAGGCAUCCAACGGUACCCAGGAUGUGACGGAGCUCCAUGUACCAAGCGAAAGCACCAUCGAUUUAAGUGAAUUUCCCCCCAAGCACUAUGGAACUCUGCGCCAGAUUGGCGGACUGCCAUAGCCUGGUCAAAAUUUAAAUUUCCAGUUAACUCAGGCCAGCCACCUUUUGGACAGAGUGGAUUCUCUGAAAAAAAGCUUUAAGGGGACAGCAUUUAUUAGUCAGCACCAAGGUAUCUGGUGAUUAAAUUAUCUGGUCAGAAACUGACACCUAGGGGCUAGGUAUGUCAAGUAUGUAUUAUUCUACUGGGGACCUCCUUUUGAGGACCCAGGUAUAAAAGUGUGCCG